rnacentral:rRNA from 1 species
UGAGUAACCUGCCCUUCACUCUGGGAUAACUCCGGGAAACCGGGGCUAAUACUGGAUAUGACUCGAACAGGCAUCUGUUUCGGGUGGAAAGAUUUAUUGGUGGAGGAUGGACUCGCGGCCUAUCAGCUUGUUGGUGAGGUAAUGGCUCACCAAGGCGACGACGGGUAGCCGGCCUGAGAGGGCGAGUCCGGCCACACGUGGGACUGAGACGACGGCCCAGACUCCGUACGGGNGCA